GUCUAUGGCCAUACAACCCUGAACACACCUGAUUUCAUCUGAUCUCAGAAGCUAAGCAUGAUCCAGCCUCUUUACUAUUUGAAUGGAAGACAACCAUGAAUUCGCUGUUUUAUUUUUU
rfam:Fukomys damarensis contig70019, whole genome shotgun sequence.